rnacentral:rRNA from 1 species
UACGUAGGGUGCAAGCGUUGUCCGGAAUUAUUGGGCGUAAAGAGCUCGUAGGCGGUCUGUCGCGUCUGCUGUAAAAACUCAGGGCUUAACCCUGAGCUUGCAGUGGGUACGGGCAGACUAGAGUGCGGUAGGGGAGACUGGAAUUCCUGGUGUAGCGGUGAAAUGCGCAGAUAUCAGGAGGAACACCGGUGGCGAAGGCGGGUCUCUGGGCCGUAACUGACGCUGAGGAGCGAAAGCAUGGGGAGCGAACAGG